UAGUUGAGAAAGCUUAUAGUUUGACGUUUGAUGUUCUUAACUGGAACUCACAAGUUCUUGAUGUGUUGAACACACACCAGCAAUGUAACAUUGCUUUGUCAGUGUCACUGCCUUAUAGAUAUACAAAUCUGAAGGUUGCAACAUUCAUUGAUCGCCAUGACCUCAAGUCCCAAGCCCAAACCAGAUAUAGUGGAGUUUGUGCUUAUCUAUACUUAUGGAAAUUGUACAGCUCGCUAUCUCGUUGUCAGUGUCACUGCCUUAUGGAUAUACUCCCUCCGUUCCAGAAUAUAAGGUGUAUUGCUUUCCGUGCAAGUCAGCAAUUUCAAAGUUUGACCAAGAUUCUAGAACAAAAUAGGAACAUCUGCAAUACGUAUUUUAUCAAAUAUGAAACUACCUUUCAUGAUUGAUCGAAUAAUACAAAUUUCAUAUUGUGGAUACUUAUAUAUUUUUCUAAAAUCUUGGUCAAACAUGCACUCAUUUGAUUUUUCAAAAAAAAAAUACACCUUAUAUAAAGGAACGGAGGGAGUACAAAUCUGAAGGUUGCAACAUUCAUUGAUAUCAGUGUCGCCAUGACUUCAAGUCCCAAGCCCGAACCAGAGAUAAUGGAGUUUGUGCUUAUCUAUACUUAUGGAAAUUGUAGAGCUUGCUAUCUCGUUGAAAGCCCCUUUACUUAGGGAAGAGAAGAGUUGGAUGCUGUGGUGGGAAUCCCUUUGCUUACGGAAGAGAAGAGUUGGAUGUUGUGGUGGGAAAGCUUCCAUUUCAACUUUGCUUCUUGUAAGCUUUGGUAUAAAUAGCUCAUUUGCGGGAUCUAAUCUCAUUCUAUGGGAACAACUUUCAUUUCUAUCAUUUGGCUUAAAGUGGUGAACAAAUCCUUUCUCUUCACUUUUUGUGCUCUGCAUGGCUUCGGUCAAGAUGUGACUCCUGUAUAUACAUAAUUAGGAGACCUACACAUAACUAGGAGACCUCUCACGAACUUGUUAAAGAAAGGAGUACCAUUUGUGUGGACAAGCCAAAGCAAUCCUUUGAUGUUCUCAAGCAAGCUUUAAUUGAGGCCCUUGUGUUGGUUCUCCCUGAUUUCAGUAAAAGAUUUGUGCUAGAGACAGAUGCA
rnacentral:lncRNA from 1 species